UCUAAACUGUUGGGUCGCCGUCGU
rnacentral:piRNA from 1 species